rnacentral:rRNA from 1 species
AAGGGCAAAUGGUGGAUGCCUCGACAUCAAAAGACGAAGAAGGACGUAGCAGCCUGCGAAAAGCCUCGGGGAGGUGGCAAGCGACCUUUGAACCGGGGAUUUCCGAAUGGGGCAACCCGUUCCGCUGGAAGAGCGGAACAUCAUUACCUGAAUUCAA